AAAGCCUCAAAGUGCUGUGACAGCCUUAUUAAACAUCAGAGAAUCUGCACUGGAGAAAAACCCUGUUGGUCUGAAGAAGAUAGUAAAAGGUUCAUUAUGGUUCAGCUCUGGUCACCCACCAGAGAAUCCACACUGGAGAGCAGCACCAUUAUGAACGUAGUGUGUGAGGGAAGGCCUUUAUUUGGAAGCUAGCACUUACCAAUCAUCAGAAUACCCAUGCUGGAGAGAAAAUUUAUAAAUGUAAAAAUGUAAAAAAGCUCAAUCUUAUACAUCAGAAAAUCCACACUGGAACAAAACUGUAUGCAUAUGACCAUAGGGAAGCUAACAGUGUUAGCUCAUUGCUUAAAGGGCAUCAAGAUUCCCGCAUGGGGAAAAGCUCUUUGUAAAUUAUGUGGGAAAACCUUCAGUCAAAGUUCAGAUCUUAUCCAGCAUCAGAGUCCACACUAGAUAGAAGCUUUAUGACUUGGACAAAUGUAAGAAAACAUUU
rnacentral:lncRNA from 1 species